rnacentral:rRNA from 1 species
UACGGGGGGGGGCAAGCGUUGUUCGGAAUUACUGGGCGUAAAGGGCUCGUAGGCGGCCAACUAAGUCAGACGUGAAAUCCCUCAGCUUAACCGGGGAACUGCGUCUGAUACUGGAUGGCUUGAAUCCGGGAGAGGGAUGCGGAAUUCCAGGUGUAGCGGUGAAAUGCGUAGAUAUCUGGAGGAACACCGGUGGCGAAGGCGGCAUCCUGGACCGGCAUUGACGCUGAGGAGCGAAAGCCAGGGGAGCAAACGGG